AGUGAACACUGGCGGUAGGCCUAACACAUGCAAGUCGAACGGCAGCACAGGAGAGCUUGCUCUCUGGGUGGCGAGUGGCGGACGGGUGAGGAAUACAUCGGAAUCUACCUUUUCGUGGGGGAUAACGUAGGGAAACUUACGCUAAUACCGCAUACGACCUACGGGUGAAAGUGGGGGACCGCAAGGCCUCACGCGAUUAGAUGAGCCGAUGUCCGAUUAGCUAGUUGGCGGGGUAAUGGCCCACCAAGGCGACGAUCGGUAGCUGGUCUGAGAGGAUGAUCAGCCACACUGGAACUGAGACACGGUCCAGACUCCUACGGGAGGCAGCAGUGGGGAAUAUUGGACAAUGGGCGCAAGCCUGAUCCAGCCAUACCGCGUGGGUGAAGAAGGCCUUCGGGUUGUAAAGCCCUUUUGCUGGGAAAGAAAUCCUGUCGAUUAAUACUCGGUGGGGAUGACGGUACCCAAAGAAUAAGCACCGGCUAACCUCGUGCCAGCAGCCGCCGUAAGAC
rnacentral:rRNA from 1 species